rnacentral:rRNA from 1 species
AUGGAAGCUUUGCAGCUCAGGCAAUUACUCGGCAAGUUCGGCGUACAAUGCACAGUUCGAUGGCAACCAGCCAUGCAAUUUCAAAGCUAUCAUCUGGAAGAUUUGGGCUCCGGGGAAAGUGAAAAUGUUCCUUUUGUUAUUGCACCUAGACAGGCUGUGGUGCAACGACCGUCUUUAGAGGAGAGGAUGGCAAAACGGUUAUUUUUGCCCCAUGUGCAUGCGCAACCAAGAGACCUUGCUCCAUUUGAUCUGGGAAUGCCCAGUGGCGAUGCAGGCCUGCAACACCGCGGCCUCCUGGACGGGGUGCAACUCAUUGAACCAGCAGGUGUGGAGCAGGGCUACAACGACGACGGACAAAGUUUAGAAGAUAGUGUCGGUCGCAGCCCUAGACACAGGAAGGGCACGAAGACUAUGAUCGCUCUCAUCUCCUGGCACAUCUGGCUGGAAAAAAAUGCUUGCGUUUUCAAGGAGAAACAGGCAGAUGCUAGGCACAUCAUCAAAGCAUGGCAGAGUGACAUGGAGCAAUGGCGACUCACCGGUGCAAGAUGCUUCCAGCAGCUCUUCGGAGACGUGACGUGA